AUGGUUCAAAAGUGAAAGACGGUCUUGCUGUCACUUAUAGAUGGAUCCGCGCUGCAUUAGCUAGUUGGUAAGGUAACGGCUUACCAAGGCAACGAUGCAUAGCCGACCUGAGAGGGUGAUCGGCCACACUGGAACUGAGACACGGUCCAGACUCCUACGGGAGGCAGCAGUAGGGAAUCUUCCGCAAUGGGCGAAAGCCUGACGGAGCAACGCCGCGUGAGUGAUGAAGGUCUUCGGAUCGUAAAACUCUGUUAUUAGGGAAGAACAUAUGUGUAAGUAACUGUGCACAUCUUGACGGUACCUAAUCAGAAAGCCACGGCUAACUACGUGCCAGCAGCCGCGGUAAUACGUAGGUGGCAAGCGUUAUCCGGAAUUAUUGGGCGUAAAGCGCGCGUAGGCGGUUUUUUAAGUCUGAUGUGAAAGCCCACGGCUCAACCGUGGAGGGUCAUUGGAAACUGGAAAACUUGAGUGCAGAAGAGGAAAGUGGAAUUCCAUGUGUAGCGGUGAAAUGCGCAGAGAUAUGGAGGAACACCAGUGGCGAAGGCGACUUUCUGGUCUGUAACUGACGCUGAUGUGCGAAAGCGUGGGGAUCAAACAGGAUUAGAUACCCUGGUAGUCCACGCCGUAAACGAUGAGUGCUAAGUGUUAGGGGGUUUCCGCCCCUUAGUGCUGCAGCUAACGCAUUAAGCACUCCGCCUGGGGAGUACGACCGCAAGGUUGAAACUCAAAGGAAUUGACGGGGACCCGCACAAGCGGUGGAGCAUGUGGUUUAAUUCGAAGCAACGCGAAGAACCUUACCAAAUCUUGACAUCCUUUGACAACUCUAGAGAUAGAGCCUUCCCCUUCGGGGGACAAAGUGACAGGUGGUGCAUGGUUGUCGUCAGCUCGUGUCGUGAGAUGUUGGGUUAAGUCCCGCAACGAGCGCAACCCUUAAGCUUAGUUGCCAUCAUUAAGUUGGGCACUCUAAGUUGACUGCCGGUGACAAACCGGAGGAAGGUGGGGAUGACGUCAAAUCAUCAUGCCCCUUAUGAUUUGGGCUACACACGUGCUACAAUGGACAAUACAAAGGGCAGCGAAACCGCGAGGUCAAGCAAAUCCCAUAAAGUUGUUCUCAGUUCGGAUUGUAGUCUGCAACUCGACUACAUGAAGCUGGAAUCGCUAGUAAUCGUAGAUCAGCAUGCUACGGUGAAUACGUUCCCGGGUCUUGUACACACCGCCCGUCACACCACGAGAGUUUGUAACACCCGAAGCCGGUGGAGUAACCUUUUAGGAGCUAGCCGUCGAAGGUGGGACAAAUGAUUGGGGUGAAGUCGUAACAAGGUAGCCGUAUCGGAAGGUGCGGCUGGAUCACCUCCUUU
rnacentral:rRNA from 1 species